GAAAUACUCAGGCUCAGACUUUGAGAUUAAUCCUCAACUGAAUGAAAUUGUAACUGAUUACACAGUUGAAGAUUGAGGCACUGAUGGGAAACUGUGGCUAACACAGGAAAAUAAAGUUUCCUACUUGAAACUUGACCAAGGUAUUGUACUGGUGAAUAUGGGCCUGGAGUCUCUAGUCAGGCUUCUGAGUUCAUUUCCAUUUAACAACCACUUAAUUCAAAAUGCUUUUCGAGAAUGGAAAAUAGUUUGCUGUGUUUGGCCUUGAAGAGGAAGUGACACAAUCUGAACUGGAAAGGUGACCUCCUAUUUCCUGGAAGAGCAGAGUAGCUACAUUGCUUUCCACACUUGAACUGGGAUCGCUGUAUCAGAAAUACAAA